AGAUAAAACAGAUCAGUGUGCGUUUAAUGUUACGUUGGUUUCUGCACUUAAAUCCAAAAAAUUGACAAGUGAGGUUAUCGUAACCGUGUGUCUUUUUCUCGGAUCUCGGAUUAACGUGUUCGGAGGAUCUUUUACUCGAGGAGAAUUACUCCGUCGCAUAUUCGAUUCUUAUAAUUUGUAUACUUAUCGAUGUUCCGGUUAGAGGGUUAAAAUCGUACCACGAUGGAGAAUAUGGAGUUAGAUGCUUUGGAAAAGGAAUUUGUCACGUUGUC